rnacentral:rRNA from 1 species
UGGGGAAUUUUGGACAAUGGGCGCAAGCCUGAUCCAGCCAUGCCGCGUGCGGGAAGAAGGCCUUCGGGUUGUAAACCGCUUUUGUCAGGGAAGAAAUCUUCUGAGUUAAUACCUCGGGAGGAUGACGGUACCUGAAGAAUAAGCACCGGCUAACUACGUGCCAGCAGCCGCGGUAAUACGUAGGGUGCAAGCGUUAAUCAGAAUUACUGGGCGUAAAGCGUGCGCAGGCGGUUUUGUAAGACAGAGGUGAAAUCCCCGGGCUCAACCUGGGAACUGCCUUUGUGACUGCAAGGCUUGAGUGCGGCAGAGGGGGGAUGGAAUUCCGCGUGUAGCAGUGAAAUGCGUAGAUAUGCGGAGGAACACCGAUGGCGAAGGCAAUCCCCUGGGCCUGCACUGACGCUCAUGCACGAAAGCGUAGGGAGCAAAACAGGAUUAGAUACCCCUGGUAGUCCACGCCCUAAACGAUGUCAACUGGUUGUUGGGAAGGUUCCUUCUCAGUAACGUAGCUAACGCGUGAAGUUGACCGCCUGGGGAGUACGGCCGCAAGGUUGAAACU